UGUAUAAAUGGAAGCAGUCAGUAUUGGCAGCUCAUUAACAAUCUCAAGUUCUAUUGAAAUAUCAAUAUCAAAGUGAAACACGAAAAAGCCAGAAUGAAUAUCAAAAUUUUCUCGAUUCUUGUAGCUGUUCUAUUCAUUUCCAGCAGUAUAGACGAAGUUACCGGAGUAUGCAUGGGAACACCGAAUCGAAUCGCAUCAUGGUGUUCCGGUGGUGUUAGCUAUUGCAAACAAUCAUGCAAAACGGCUGGCUUUUCCAACGGUUGUUGCGACUCCAGCAAUAAAUGCUUAUGCAAUUACUUGUAACAGAACAAUUAUUUCGUGAAAUAAAAUUAAUUUUUGAAAGAACCGAUUGACUCUUGACAAAAUUGAAAAGAGUGAAGGUGGUACCAGCAACGGGUGACUAUACCUUGAGCGUUAAUUGGGUAGUAAUUGUUGGCGGUGGAAAUGUUAGUUCGUUAGCUGAUACCUAACCAUCUAUUUAAUAAAUAAAAAUAUAAUUCAAAUGCAUCCAGCUCAACAACAAUAAAAAUAGUUUCACGCCUCCACAAGCAUUGUUUUUGUUAGAUUGCUGCUCGAGCUAUUUAUAAGUUUUUGUAAUCUAAUACACGAAUGGCUUCAUCAAUUUAAAACUUAUUUUUACUCACAAUGCAAAUGUAAGCGAUUAAACAAAAUGAAAAAAUAAAUACGAAACCACAGCAGUGUAAUACACCUUCCCCGGUGUUGAUGUUAGCUUAAUGUCAGAAGUAAUCAUAAAUUGAAUGAUUUUGAUGGUAUCAUUAAUUGUAUCGUUAAAAUAAGCUCUAACCCGUUACGAAAGCGAUAGAAAAAGACGUAAAACCUGUAAGCUGAGCAGUUUAAGUUUCAGCUUAUUUAAAUGCCGGCAUAAAUCGAAUCGAUUUACUACAUUCAACGUACACAAAACGAUUCCGGUCUCAACCGAAACAAUUAUUUGCUGCGUAUACGUUUUUGCCAAACAUUUUUUCCUUUGGCCUUCAGUCGUUCACGAAUCCACAUUAUCACCGAGUAAAAAAACGUACUUGUUUAAAAGGCGCAUAAAAUAAGUCUUAAAUAACAUCGCGAAAAAUAACAAGACUUCAUAUUUCUGAAAACCAUAAAUUUUUAGAACAACAACACCAACACCAGAUAACAAAUUACCCACACGUCUUUUCCACAUUCAAUCCCUACUCAAUAAUAAAACCAACCAAUACACAGCACCGCUUUUAACUGAAACGAAACAGCGUAACUACAACUGGGGUUACUUCAUUGGUUAUAUUCAACCGGCGAACAUGAAAUAUCAACACAAAACCGAAAAAACAAGAGAGAAGCUCAUCAUCCACACGAAUCGGGUAGAGAUAUUAUUAUAUAUACAAUGGAUGUGAUGUGGUUCCGAAAUUCCACCAAGUUUUUUUUUCGCGAUCAUAAUAACGAAGAGCGUACGAGAGAUGACGAUUAUUUUCCCGCAGAGAGUUUUAAUCAUUUCGUUGGAUAUAUAGUUAAGUUUUCAGUUACUACCACAAACUCGUAUAGUAAGCCAAAGUAGCAAAUGACGAUU